UGGGGAAUUUUGCACAAUGGGGGAAACCCUGAUGCAGCGACGCCGCGUGAAUGAAGAAGGUCUUCGGAUUGUAAAGUUCUGUCCUUGGUGAAGAUAAUGACAGUAACCAAGAAGAAAGCCCCGGCUAAAUACGUGCCAGCAGCCGCGGUAAUACGUAUGGGGCGAGCGUUGUCCGGAAUUAUUGGGCGUAAAGGGUACGUAGGCGGUAAGUUAAGUCUGAAUUAAAAGGCAUUGGCUCAACCAAUGUAAGGUUCAGAUACUGGUUUACUUGAGUAGAUGAGGGGAAAGUGGAAUUCCUAGUGUAGCGGUGAAAUGCGUAGAUAUUAGGAGGAAUACCAGUGGCGAAGGCGACUUUCUGGAAUCUAACUGACGCUGAGGUACGAAAGCGUGGGGAGCAAACAGG
rnacentral:rRNA from 1 species